CCGGCGACCGGCGCACGGGUGAGUAACACGUAUGCAACCUGGCCGUGACAGAUGGAUAACCGGGAGAAAUCCCGCCUAAUACAACAUAAUGCCGGGAGGGGACAUCCCCUGCCGGCCAAAGGGGGCGACCCCGGUCACGGAUGGGCAUGCGGCGCAUUAGGUAGUUGGUGGGGCAACGGGCCCACCAAGCCGACGAUGCGUAGGGGUUCUGAGAGGAAGGUCCCCCACAUUGGAACUGAGACACGGUCCAAACUCCUACGGAAGGCAGCAG
rnacentral:rRNA from 1 species